ensembl:lncRNA
UCCCCACCCUGGUAUCGUAUGCUGUAUAAGCGUCUCACGUUUUGAUCAGAGGCUGCCUUUAUGUUUAUAUGACACUAUGUACACGUCCCCAUUAAGGUCCCAAAGCAAGGCACUGUUGAUGUCGUUGGAGACGAGUCUGCCGUAAUCGAUGACUAGUGAAGACUGUAGGAGGUCAUUCAGAGGUAAAGGCAGUGUGGUUUGGCCCCACAACAAGUAUGACAAUUUAGAGAGCACCACAAAGAGACAAAAGCACCCCGUUGUUCUCCCCAGUGUGUGUUUGAAUAUGAGUGUGUGCGUACGUUUGUGUGUGUGUUCUGGACAGUGUUGAUGGAUACUUAAGGUUCUUCCCUUCUCUUGACAUUGUCUAUUUUAUAAUUACACAGCUACUUCAUUUCACAUAAAUCGCCUUUUUAGGAAUACUGUGGGUUGUAGAUGUGUUACCCUGGUAAUAUAUAAAAAAAAUGAAUUUGAGGCUGGACCUCAAAGUAUUUAUUUGAUCUUGUACGGAUUGUGUUCUGUGAUUGUUAUGAUUUUUUUUGAGUUGAGUCGGUAGACGAUACAGAUGCACUGAAGCGGAUUGUGUUUAUUUGAUUGGGAUUUGUGAGGUUCCCGUUUGAGUGAUACAUGUGCGGUUCCAUGUUGUUCAAUUCAACAUAUGAAUGAAAUGGGAUAGACAAUGGUCUUGAGAUGAUUGGAGUGGGAAGUUGUGGUUAAAGGGGUCUCAUUUAAAUUGGAAUGGGAUCCCCAAUGCUGAUGUAUUGCGUAUUAUUCUCCUGAACAGUCAAUCGCCGGAGGAAACCAUUUAGUUUGAAAGCCACAGGAAGAGAGUUAUCAGGAAGUGCCGGUUGUCACCUGCCUCCAUUAAGCACCUUCAAUAUUGUAACCACCGGAUGGAAAAUAAACCACUAGCCGACAUAAAGAAUGUAUGUGUGUGUGUGUGUGUGUGUGUGUGUGUGUGUUUGUGUUUUGUGUGUGUGUGUGUGUGCGUGCGUGCGUGCGUGCGUGCGUGCGUGCGUGCGUGCGUGCGUGCGUGCGUGCGUGCGUGUUUGUGUGUGUGGUGGUUCUGGAUGUAUGGUUGCCUGCAGUGGGUGCUCAGUCCUGCCUGGAGCACAUCAGUCUCAAUGAUUUUCAUCAGUCAGGAGCACUUGUUUGCCUCCCAGAGAAGCAUGCUGACGGUGCUUAGUGAGAGACAUGAACCACGGCAGCCGGGUGGUUUUCCUAUCCACGUGUGUUUGAGUGAGAUGGUGGAUCCCGUUGACCUACAGUCCUAACCAGACAAAUUCCAGCAUUUUUUUUUUUCUGUUUCCGCACUGAUUUUCAUUUUUGAUUUUUGAUGUUAAAUCGCUGACCUGUCAGAAAAAGAAACCCUAAAAACACACAGGUCCUGAUUUAGAAAUAACAUUUUUUUUUGAAGUGGACGUAUAUUAUGCAUCAUUUCAUAUUUUUUACCAUUCAAUGAAUAUGUGAGGAUAAUUGAAUAUGAGAGACGGACUAUCGUAUGUGUGAUGACACCCCCCUGACUGGCCUAUUUAUAUUUUACAGUGUAUGGACUAUAAUUGUUUCCGGUGUUCAAACACUGCAAGUGAAACACAGAGCCUGUGUCAACUGCAUCUACAGACAGGGAAAAGCAGUCAACCAUUGCCAUUGCUGUGAUCCAACCUGUCAAAUGGCCUUUAGUUUGUGUUUUUGUUGUUUUGUUUUUUGGAGUCAUGAAAAAGAGUUUAAAAGGUGCACGGUUGUGUGAAGCGCCACAUUCCAGGCUCAGGCAAUGCCUGCUCUUACAGAGACGUGCUCAAUAGCCACAUACUCUCACGCCCUGUCCUGCUCCAUCCUGCGCCUGUCUGAAUGACGGUUACCCGCGAGUAACCUGACGAGACGGGCAGCCUUAAUGCUUUGUUAAUUUAUUUCAGUGUUUUUAACUCUAGUUUUUUAAUUUUUUAUAAGCAAAAAAUCUAUUUAAACUGAAAAAAAUGUUAUUCAUAUUGAGACAAUGACCAUUGUAAAUAGUGUUGUGUGUGUAGCGAAUUACAAGUUCUAGAGGAAUUAAAAAUCACCACAGAUGCUAGCUUAACGAACAAGGCUUUGGAGUGGUUUGGCCGGCUGUAUAUCUGGUGCCAUUCAAGUGCUAGUGAAGCUUGCAUCGCUACAUCAACGCUUUUAUAUCAUGGCUUAGCCAGCAUAGCCUUUUUAAUGAGCGUACUACUUCACAAGUCUGAACAUUCUGGAAGCCUUCCUCCUACUCCAACCCUUACUUAAAAAAUGCUGUAACCGUGGAGGGCUUAUGAGUGGGAUGUGAGUUAUCGAUCGACAGAUGAGAUAGCCUAGUUCAUGCUUAUUAAGAUAAGGACAGCUGUCCUUUGAUAAGGACAGCUGUUGGGUCAAAGGUAAGGCACUGUAGGAUGUUAACAAUUCUAUGUCAGCCAAAAUCACCAUAUGCUUACGAAGCUUAGAAUGCAACACUGGCACACUAACUAGCAACACAACCCACUCCAAAAUCUACACCAACAAAUAGAUUUCAAUUUUUUGGUUUUUCAUUAAAGCUUACAAAAGAAAAAUGCAGAAGCUGAAGUUGAAAUAUAUCUUCUCUGAUUGUAAGGAGACACCUUCUCCUUGAAUUGAAGCCAUUCGAAGCCACUUGUUAAAAAAAAACUUGAUGUCAGCCUUAUGUGUAUCUGUGUAUUGACAUAUUAUCUUUUGAUUAUUGAAAUUUGUAUGAUGGAGAUUUUCUUUUAUAACAUCAUUGUUAUUGUCAAAGUACACCAAUAAAACAAAACUUGAAAUUAUA